rnacentral:tRNA from 1 species
GCUGGGAUGGCAGAGCAUGGCUAAACGCGCAGGUUUGCUAAACCUGUGACCUUAUGGUCGCAAGGGUUCAAAUCCCUUUCCCAGCG